rnacentral:rRNA from 1 species
CCCUUAGAUGUUCUGGGCCGCACGCGCGCUACACUGAUACGCUCAACGAGCUCCUUGGCCGAAAGGUCCGGGUAAUCUUUGAAAUCGUAUCGUGAUGGGGAUAGAACAUUGCAAUUAUUAAUCUUCAACGAGGAAUGCCUAGUAAGCGUGAUUCAUCAAAUCGCGUUGAUUACGUCCCUGCCCUUUGUACACACCGCCCGUCGCUCCUACCGAUUGAAUGUGUUGGUGAGGAGCUCGGAUUGGCAGCAGUUGGUGGUUCGCCACCGGCUAUUGCUGAGAAGUCCUCCAAACCGCCCCAUUUAGAGGAAGGAGAAGUCGUAACA